UCAAACUUGGUCAUUUAGAGGAAGUAAAAGUCGUAACAAGGUAACCGUAGGUGAACCUGCGGUUGGAUCAUUAAAAAUUUAAUUUAGUCUCUGGAUAUAUUUAUUUAAUUAUAUAUAUCCAUGAUGGCUAUUUAACACCUGUGCACUUUGAAUGUAUCUUGGGUAUUGUAUGUAUUAAUAAUAUAAUACUUACCCAAAAUUGAUAAAACCCCUAUUGAUUAUGUCUGAAAAAUUUUAUAUUAAAUUAUAAACAACUUUUGACAACGGAUCUCUAGGCUCUCGCAUCGAUGAAGAACGCAGC
rnacentral:misc_RNA from 1 species